ACGGAAGGCAGCAGUCGGGAAUAUUGCGCAAUGGAGGAAACUCUGACGCAGUGACGCCGCGUAUAGGAAGAAGGUUUUCGGAUUGUAAACUAUUUUAGACAGGGAAGACAAUGACAGUACCUGUAGAAUAAGCUCCGGCUAACUACGUGCCAGCAGCCGCGGUAAUACGUAGGGAGCAAGCGUUAUCCGGAUUUAUUGGGUGUAAAGGGUGCGUAGACGGGAAAUCAAGUUAGUUGUGAAAGCCCUCGGCUUAACUGAGGAACUGCAACUAAAACUAAUUUUCUUGAGUGCAGGAGAGGAAAGCGGAAUUCCUAGUGUAGCGGUGAAAUGCGUAGAUAUUAGGAAGAACACCGGUGGCGAAGGCGGCUUACUGGACGGUAACUGACGUUGAGGCUCGAAAGCGUGGGGAGCAAACAGGAUUAGAUACCCUGGUA
rnacentral:rRNA from 1 species